CCAGCAUUGGUGUUUUUGUAAAGCUCUCAGGAGAUUCUAAUGAAAGGUAGUUUCAGAAACAGUGCAGUGGGCAGCUCAAGUAUCUGUUUAGGGCAGUGAUUCUCAAACUUCAGGGCUUCAGAAUCACCUGAAAGGGCUUAUUAUAAUACAGAUUGCUAGGUUCUAGCAAUCAGAGGUUCUGAUUCAGUAAAUUAGGGGUGGGACCAGAGAAUUAGCAUUUCUGACAAGUUCUCGGAGGAUGGUGCUGCUGCUGGUUUAGGAUUACACUUUGGGAGCCACUGUCCUAGGACACCCGGAUAAAUGGACACCAAGAAAAAAAUGAGAGGGGUUGGGGGGAACCCAGAAAGAUUCAUAUUUCAAACAAAGCUUCUAAGUAACUCUCAUGGUACAAAUCAGAAACUUUGAGCUUCCUUACCUUUGCCAACAAAGGUCUAUCUAGUCAAGGCUUAUGAUUUUUCCAGUAGUCAUGUAUGGAUGUGAGAGUUGGACUAUAAAGGAAGCUGAGCACCAGAGAAUUGAUGCUUUUGAACUGUGGUGUUGGAGAAGACUCUUGAGAGUCCCUUGGACUGCAAGGAGAUCCAACCAGUCCAUCCCAAAGGAAAUCAGUCCUGAAUAUUUAUUGGAAGGACUGAUGUUGAAGCUGAAACUCCAAUACUUUGGCCACCUCAUGCGAAGAGCUGACUCACUUGAAAAGACCCUGAUACUGGGAAAGAUUGAAGGCAGGAAGAGAAGGGGAUGACAGAGGAUGAGACAGUUGGAUGUCAUCACUGACUCAAUGGACAUGAGUUUGGGUAGGCUCCGGGAGCUGGUGAUGGACAGGGAGGCCUGGCAUGCUGCAGUCCUUGGGGUCGCAGAGUCGGACACGACUGAGCGACUGAACUGAACCUUUAUUUUAUGGCUAGUUUGAUUCUUGUUUUAGACUUGUGUUUAGGGAGAUAGGACUCCCAUAAUUCUUUUACUGCUAAAGGUGAUUUUUAAAAGUCUUAAGCCCUAUAGUUAAGUAUCCCACAAGCCAAUGCAUCUCUUCACGUAAACUGCAGCUUUCACCUUUCUGUUAGAAUGUUCCCUUCACUAGAUUUUCCCUGACCAUAACGGGUCAUAGUAGCCCACCACAGAAUAUUUAUGGAGAGUAGCAAAGCAAAAUAUUAAUACACAUAUAUUGCUCACAUCUCCCAAUAAAAAGCUCUAAGGCAGAAAUAGUGUUUAUCUUGUCUUCCAGGUGAUGGGUGAAUGUAUCUUGCGUGUUGAGCACUGUGACAGAGAACUUGACCCAUGGAGGGCAUACAAAUAAGAUUGCAAGAAGACCUGUCAGAGUUAUGGAAAUGAAAGGGGUGCCUCAGCUGGAUGACCCAAAGUGACCUCAUGUACUUCCGGGCGUUGGUGCUGUCAGCUGGGUGAGGCACCUUUGUUCCCCUCCAAGUGUUCCCUCACUCUCUUUCCAUGUGGUCACACAUCAUUCAGUUGUCUAGCAUUUUUAGUUGGUGGCUGUCUUCCAAGGAGUAAAAGGGAUUACGUACCAUCAGUUUCACUGUAUUCUGCUUGUCAAAGCAAGUCCAAGGGCCAACAUGGAGUCAAAGGAUCGGAAAAUAGAUUUCACUCUUUUUGUAAAGAUAAUUUUCUUUAUUUUUGGCUGUGCUAGGUGUUUCUCUAGUUAUGGGAAGCAGGGGCUGCUCUCUGAUUGCAGUGCUUGGGCUUCUCAUUGCGGUGACUUCUCUUGUUGCAGAGCACAGGCUCUAGGACAUUUGGGCUUCAGUAGCUUGUAGGCUCUAGAGCACAGCCUGAGGCUUGUGACCCUCAGGCUUACUUGCCCUGCGGCAUGUGGGAUCCUCCCAGACCAAGGAUUGAGCUCAUGUCUCCUGCAUUGGCACGUGGAUUCCUUACCACUGAACCACCAGGUAUUUGUGCCAAGGCUAUGACAUGGAUUACCUGGUUGAAUCUUCAUAAGAAGUAAGAAAAGCACUAAUGUUGUAUCCAAUAUUUAAAGAAGAAACUGAGGCUUGGAGGAAAUUUCCCUGACCUAAGAGGGUUAAGAUUAUAGGGAUGACCAUAUAGGACGCUCUAGAACACCUGGAAAUCAUACUUUCAUCAUGCUUCCAAGUCAGGUAUCGCCCAGGUAUCCAUCUAUAGACUGGACAUCUCCAAGUUCAUGUCUCCUGGACACCUCAAACUUUUGUGCCUGAGAUCAGACAAGACAUCUUCCUCCUCAAACCUGCUCUUUCUCCGGAGUUACCCUCGAUCAACAGCUCUACCAUCCAUCCAGUCCCC
ensembl:lncRNA